rnacentral:rRNA from 1 species
GUCUCUUUGUUUAUCGCAUAUAAAGAGUCGGGCCUGCUCGGUGACACAAUUGUUUUAACAGCUGCGGUAUUUUAACUGUACUAAGGUAGCAUAAUAAUUUGCCUUAUAAUUUGAGGCUAGAAUGAAUGGUUUGACGAAGGUUAAGCUGUCUCUAUUUUAUUUCUUAGAAAUUAAUUUGCAAAGUGAAAAAGCUUGUAUUCCUUAAAGGGACGAGAAGACCCUAAUGAGCUUUAAUUUUAUUAAUUACUUAUUAUGAUAUAUAUAAGUAUUUAUAUAAAUUUUAAUUGGGGUGAUUAAGGAGUAAAAUUAUUAGGCUAGUAACCUCCUUAUACAUAUUACUGAUAAGUAAAAUAACCAAUUUUAUUGCUUAUACUAGAGUUACCAUAGGGAUAACAGCGUAAUCUAUUUUAAGAGUUCUUAUUGAAAAAUAGGAUUGCGACCUCGAUGUUGGAUUAAAGUAACCUUAAGGUGCAGAAGCUUUAAAAGGUAAAUCUGUUCGAUUUUA